AGGGAUUUUCAAUCAGAUCUAAAGAGGCAGCAGCCACCAUUCUGCCAUUCUGCUUCAUGGGAGGGGAGAGGGGGAGAGAGAGAGAUUUGCUUUCCUUUGCCUUGCCAUGCCAUUGCCAUGCCAAUUGCCUUCUGCCUUGCCAGCCUGAGCCCAGCCUGCCUUGCCACCCAGCCUGCCCGCCCCUGCUGGCUACUGCAUGCCAACCUGGGAAUGGAUUAUCUGCUGCAUUGCUUUUUUGAUCCUGAUAAGAAUUCUUUUAUCACCCCCUUGAGAGAAUCACUGCCUGCCUGUGCCUGCUGUGUCUGUACCCGCCACCAGCUUUCCUCCCAGAAUUUCCAGGCUUUUGCCCCAGCCGCACCCCCAGCCCCACCAAAUCUGAAGACUGAAGGAGAAGUCAAGAAGAAGAUUGAAGAAGAAAGAGUACACUCAGAGACCAGACCACAGAAGAAGACAACUGGACACACAAUGGGGUGAAGCCUUAGACUGAAGAAUCUACACUCAGAAUACCUCAGAAACAACAAAACCCAGUACCCCAUCGGCUUGUGAGUAUGGGAGUGUUUGCCUGCAUCCAGGCACUGAUUCAGGACUGUCACUGCCUCACCUGCAUCUGAUGAAAAAGAGAGAUGCAACUGAAUGUCAUCCACAAACAGUUUGAAAGGAGCUCUUGACCAGACAAGACUCAGACCAGAUGAGGCAACAAGCUUGAUUUCUUUCUAGGGACAAACAGCAAGCAGCAAGCAAUAGUCCUCUUGAUAGAGCUCUUCGAUCUCAUCCUCCGUAUAGUGUGAACCUCUCAGCUUCUUCAAGACUGGAUAGGGAGAGAAGAGAGAAGGAUUUGAAGUGUUGGGAGGGGGGGACACAGUGGGCCAAGAGACAUUUGGGUACUCCAGAAAACCCAGGAUUCAGGAGGCCCUAAGCUAAGGAGAACUGCAGCAUCCUGGCAGACGUGGGGAGAACAAACUUGUGUGCUGAGACCUGAUGUGCAAUGAACACAUUUUCCAGUCUUGGAAAUGUUCAGCCUUACACCUUCUGGAACCAAUUCUGGGGCAUUUCCAGAUGGAGAAAUACUUUGUUUGAAAAAGUAAAUGUGUUUGCAUUUAUCAAGUGUCUUUCCACACGAAACAGCUCUAGCUCCCUUUGGCACCUCUUUGCACUUAUCAACUUGGUGUUUACAUUGCUUGCUUCCUCCAUGUGCUGUUUCAUGGUGCCAUCUGCUGGCUACUUGUCCAUGAUAAAAAUUAAACUACUUUUAAAGAA